CCUCAGCCCAUCCCCGCGCCGGGAGCGGCAUCGCAGCAAGAGCCCGAGACGGCACCGGAGCAGAUCCCGGGAGAGGCGCCACAGAUCGAGAUCUAAAUCUCCAGGGCAUCACCGUAGUCACAGACACAGAAGUCAUUCCAAAUCACCUGAAAGAUCUAAGAAAAGUCACAAAAAGAGUCGGCGAGGGAAUGAGUAACAAACAAAACCCAGCCCGCUGUUCAAGGACCUUGAGCUGCAGUCUAAUGCUGUCCUGUUUGCUCCACAGGACAGCUGGCUCUCUACUGGCUGCUUUAGCAGUCCUUUUCUUUCAUCAUGCUCAUUUUGUUCUCUUGAAUUUUUUUAUUAAAGGUAAGCUAAGGAUACUUUUUAUGUAGUUAGUUACUCAUCCUUGUGAUAGAAUUUGAAGGUUGUUUUUUAAUUGUUUUUCUUGAAGCCUGUAAAAACUUAAUGAAGAGCAAUAAAAAAAGGAAGGUUUGUCUUUAAA